rnacentral:rRNA from 1 species
UACGGAGGAUGCGAGCGUUAUCCGGAUUUAUUGGGUUUAAAGGGUGCGUAGGCGGCGAUGCAAGUCUGCGGUGAAAUGUCGGGGCCCAACCCCGGAACUGCCGUGGAAACUGUGUUGCUGGAGACCGGAUGCCGUGGGAGGAAUGUGUGGUGUAGCGGUGAAAUGCAUAGAUAUCACACAGAACACCGAUUGCGAAGGCAUCUCACGAAUCCGGAUCUGACGCUGAGGCACGAAAGCGUGGGGAUCGAAC